UGCAAACUGUGAUGCCACCUUGUAGCC
rnacentral:piRNA from 1 species